rnacentral:rRNA from 1 species
UACGUAGGGUGCAAGCGUUAAUCGGAAUUACUGGGCGUAAAGCGUGCGCAGGCGGUUAUAUAAGACAGAUGUGAAAUCCCCGGGCUCAACCUGGGAACUGCAUUUGUGACUGUAUAGCUAGAGUACGGCAGAGGGGGAUGGAAUUCCGCGUGUAGCAGUGAAAUGCGUAGAUAUGCGGAGGAACACGGAUGGCGAAGGCAAUCCACUGGGCCUGUACUGACGCUCAUGCACGAAAGCGUGGGGAGCAAACAGG